CUUCUAGUCCUUGUUGCCAAACCCUCAAUUUUAAGCCAGCUCCAGCCCAAGUAAGGAUGUUUUCUCCUGGUGCUGCAGGUCAGGAAGCAAAGUGGCAGGGUUGCUCUGGGUAGAAGUUGCUUCCUUGCCUGCUGCUUCCAGGACGGCUGACUUCUCUGGAAGGCAUGGAUCUAGCAUCCCAAAAAGCCUGCAAGUGUUGCACAAGGAGCGGUGCUAUGAGGUGAAUUUUGGGGUGGCCUGAGGAAUGUGCUUGGCACACAAAUGGCUUUCUUGAGGAGACAGGGAGUGAACUGCUGAGACAUCUUGUCAGGUUAGAGGACGCUCAGCUAUCCCAGGAGGAACCCCCAGCCUGCCCCAUGGCUGUGGUCAAAGCCGUGGUGAUGGCGACUCCAUGGGUAAUAAAAACAAUAAAUAGAGAAGCAGUUUCCUUUUACCACAGAAACGAUAUUUCAGCACUGGCUGAGCUGCAGCUUGCCAGCUGUCGGCUGCAGGAAAGCCCUGCGUGCUUGGCGUGUGCGGUGCUCUCCGUGGAUGCUGUGUUUGAUUUUCAGCCCACCUGAACUGUCCCAAGCGUUUCCCGGUGUGGGAACUGCGUGUCCGGGUCGGCAUUGCCAUGCUGCACCCAUGGCAGGCUGUGGGCUGGUGCUUUGGCAACCCCUCUCUCUUGAUUUGCUCUUUUUAUCCUCAGAUCAAAUGACAUUAGACAACCUGAGGCCUAUCCAUGUGGCCUGUUGCUAUCACCACCAGGUAUCCUUAUGGAUGAACCACUGCUUUAUCCAUGUGCUAGAACUGGGAAAUGCAUAACUGCUAAGGAAUUGUGUUGGUGCCCUGGAGGUGCGUGGCCAGUCUGCCUCUGACUGGUGAAAAUUGGUGGUGCUGAGGAUGCUGGCCAGCAGCAGAGGUUGUUCUUCCUCCCCAGCACAGGCCAGUGGUACUAUUUUGGGAGUGGAUGUGCUCCAAGUGGAUACCAGCAAUCCUGGGAACAACCUGCUUUGGUGGCAUGAUGUUUUGUGGGAUUCUGCUUGCCCAGCACCACUCUGUGUUGGAAGUCACAGCCACUACCUAAUGCUCUGAUUUUGUGCCUGAAUUUGGCGUGAAUAAGGCAUUUACUUAUUGAAGUCAACAGAACAGAGGAAAAGAAGUGGUUUUCUUCCCAACAGAUAAUCUUUUCAAUGGGAGCUCUACCACAGCAGCCCACCCUGGGGACCCACAGAAACCUAAAUUGGUCUGCCCAGUGCUAAAACAUGAUCAUGUGGCCAAGGCAAGCUUGGGAUGGCUGCUGAAUGAAGCAGGGUGCAAAGCAGGAUGGACCAGGGUGGUGGAUAAGUGCAGGAGCCAGUUGUCCACAUUUGGCCUUGUACAGGCCAAAGACAGGACUGGAGUCUUGCAGGGGACUCCUGGGUCACAUGCUGCCCAUCCUGGCUGUUGCAGUCCCGUCAGUGUCUCCCAUAUGGUUAUCAGGGUGCACACUGCGCUGCCUCUGUGGGUUCUGCUGAAACCCAUCCCAGACCUCUUUGCUCUGAAAAUCAGAAAUCAUUUCAUCUCCAGCCCCACAACUCUCAGCUUGGAGAUUUCACAAGAUUUUCUGAUGUUUUCUCCCCUUCCACGUGUCUCUCAGUAACAAUUAUAUCCCCUUCAGCCCUGUUCUGAUAGCCUAAAUGAGACUAAAUUUGAAUCUCUCAUAAGAUAAUCCUCCUUUGUUUGACUGUUGUAGUCAUUUUUCACACCAGUUUCAGUUCCUCAGAAAGACAAGGGAAAAGGUUUUCGGAGUUAUGGCUGGGAUCUCAGGCUUAAGAUCAAUGGGCCUUUUGUUUGGAAAUCCAAUUCAGUGGGAAUUUUAAGAACAUAUCUGAUCAUUACUGCGAGCAUCUCGAAGUUUGGAGCCCAAGCCUGUUAUUCAGCUAUGAAACAACUCUGCUGACUCCAAGAACUUGUACAAACAUUUAUAAUCAACAGGAGGGAAGCUAAGAGCCAUUCAAACAACAGAUAAGAUUAGUUACUGAAGUGGCUGGGCUGCAAUUGUUAUUGUGCAAGUCAAAGAAAAGGCUGUCACACAUGGAGGAUGUUGCCGAGCAAGAUUCAUUCGAGUCACCGAGUCAUUCUUCUCUCAUCCGCUGUCCGAAUUCUCCUGCAGUCUUCCCAGAUCUACUCAGGCUGAGUUGGGCGAUCUGCUGGGUUAGGAGGUGACUGAGCUUAGACUUUUUUCUGGGUUGUGUCAGAUAUUUGCCUUGGUCCUGUUCUUGUCCAGCACCCCCACCACGGAAAAGGGAGCAUGUUCUUGUUCAGAGAACUUCCUGUGCCGUGAUGGGACUUGGGGCACUGAAGGAAUCAAAGCCAAGUGGCUUUUGCCAUCGCUCAGAUGCAGAGCACUCAGACAGCCAUGUGGGAAUGUCUGAGGCUGGGUGAAGGCUCAGACCAGCCCCUGACCUGGAGUGUGUAACUGGAUGGUGAAAGCUCCCUGUGCUUUCUAUCUGGGUCCUCCUUGGAGUGUGCCUUUGGGGAGAGGAGCUCAGCAUGGCUCGUCCACUGUCGUGAGGCGUUGGUCACCCGGUGAACAAGCCCCAUCAUGUGCAGCAAACAGGAAACCAGCACACAACAUAUGAAAGUCAUUUAGGAAGACGGGAACGAUGAGCGGCACGCACAAUAGCGUUGCUAUUAGGAUCUGUCGAUCCUAAUUAAAAAAAUACUUCUCAAUGAAAAUUAUUUAUAAAAAGAAAUCACAGUGACCCUAAAUCAAAUUAUUUGUGAAUGGCUUUUAGUCUCCCAGAUCAGUUAAAACUCCUGUGUUAGUCACUGGACGUCAUCCAAGCUACAUGCUGAAUGAAUAACAUCUCUGCCAAAUUUCAUUUUUUUUUCACCCUCACCCAGUUUGGCACAGGACAGUUAAAGUCAUUUUUCUAAAUAUCUUUCAGAACAUCAAGCAACUGUAAAAUAACAAUGGGAAAGCUUGGCCACGGACAACUGCAGCCCUCCAGCCGGAACCGCUUCUCUCCAAGAAAGCAACUCCGUUUCCUUUGAUGAUCUGUUUUGGGGGAGCACUGAGGCAACGAUUCCUCCACGGGGGUACUGGAGGGUCACUGCCCGAGGGGUAACUCUGCCAGGGAGCCUGGCUUCCAGGCGUUCCAGAGUGGGGCACAGCCGGAUCCAGACUGGCCCUGGGUACAGGGUUUGUGUCCUUUUGGCCACCUGCUAGAGAGUGACAUCCCGAGGACAUAUCAGCCAUUCCUUGUCCACGGUGGAAGUUUCCAUGGUGAGCUGUAAUGACGCUGCUUUUGCUCACUGUUCAGAAACGAAAAACAAAAAACAAACAGAAAGAAAGAAAGGAAGGAAUCAAUGACUGCACAAUGGCAGAACAAGUUCUUGCGUCUUGUGUCUGCAAAGAUAAAGUGCUAAUUCUUCUAAGCACUAUGUGAUGUCCUAUCCGAGUGAAUCAAGUUUGGGAUUGUUUUCGUGAUGGCUUCUUCCAACUCCAGCGUGCUUUCUUUUCUCCUUUGACUGGCCUGCAAGUCCCCCUCUGCCCUUUUCUCAGCUGGCUUUCCCCUCAUCAGUUCUUUCUGACCAUGAAGGGCUCUGCAGUGUCGUCACCUGCAGAGAGCGAGGACCCUGCCCAGCUCUUGGUUCUCAGAGAUGUUAAGAGGGAAGCAUGAUUCUCCAGCUCCCCACAGCAGGAAGUGCUGGUUGCUAUUCUGUUGAAAACUAGCAGCAAAUGGCCACCAAAUUCCAAUCUUGUUGGUUUUCAGUGAGAAUAAUUUAUAAACCCAGGGCUCUCUGCUCCUUGCCUCCUAAGGAGGAGUAAGGACUGGAGCCCAGCAUCAUGUGCAGCAAUUAGCAAAGACUGUGUCACCCAUGUGUGUGACUGCCUGUUUCCCAGUAUCCAGAUGGCUUCUUUGCCUCCAGUUGAACUGGUGUGAUGACUGGGUGGACCUCCUGCUUCCCUUCCCUCUUCCCAUGCCCAUGGCACUGGCUGGGAAGGUGCUCUGUCCACAGGGACGUCCAGGAAGGUGGGCAUAGCUGGCUCACAGGGACAGCUGCUCUGGCUCCUGGUGACCAGCUGGUUCAUCCUUUUAUUAAGGUGACAGCACCUCCUGUGCUUUUGCUGUUUGAUUCCUCUUGUUUUCGUGCUGCCUUGCUGCUGUCUCCAGAGCUGUGCCCAGAUGGUCCUGUUGUCUCUCCAGCCAUGACUCCUGGUUCUGGACUUGCACAGCCGUGCAGCAAGACAGCUGACACCCUCUCUGGUCUUGCUUUUCCUUCUGGACUUAUGGACAUGCUGGGGGUUGUGGCCUGUGAAUUCAUCCCCUCAAGGCACAUUUUUGGAAAGUGUGCUUUACAAAGCACUGGCUGGCUUUGUCUGCAGCAUUCUGGGUUUCUCAGCUUUGCCUCAUAGAGGUGCCUCCCACUCCUGUGCCACAAUGCCUGGUUUAUCCUGCCAGCCUCUAAGGUUGUUGGAUCACACCAAGCAGGGUCACUAAAGUGCCCAAGACCAGUCCAGCUGGUGGAAGCUCCCAGAGGAGAAAAGGGUGGGAGAAGGCAGAGAGGAGUCUUGGUACUAGAGACUCCCAGGUAUGAGUGUGCCUCGAUUCCUUCUCCUCCAGCCAGGAGAACUUUCUGGCCAUUUUUAACUUCUGGUUUUUGAGGUUAAUACUCCAGCCCCUCCCCAAUGCAGCUUUUUGCAGGCUGUGAUUCUUUCUCAGAUUACCUUAAAACCCCUUUCCUUAAAAAGUGUGUGAGGAUGUUGGCAAUUCCCAACUCAUGACUAGAUCUCUUACAAUCUGUUCACAGGGAGCAAGGUUGCUCAUAGAGCUGGGGUGAAAUGGGCUGACUACUUCUGUGUGGGGCCAGAGAAACCCCGAACACCUGCAAGGGUGAGAAGGAAGAUACAGAACAAAUUGCAGUUUUGAAAUGAGAUUUAGAACAAAUCAUGGUUUAGCAGUUUUGCAUCCAAGAAAAGGAGGCUUUGACUUUUUCUUUUCCCCAAAAGUUUUUCUCUGAAGAUGCUAACCUGAGUGUUGCCUCUCUGAGAGGACACAGCGAGUCCUCAGCUCUCAGGUGGGCUGGCUGCUGCCAGCAUGACACAGUGCUGUGGUUUGACCCCAGGUGGCAGCUCAGCACCAUCAUCCACUCACUCACUGAUGGGCUGGGAGAGAGAAUCAGAAGGAUAAAAGAAAAACUGGCAGCUGAGAUAAUGACAGUUUAAUGGGGAAAACAAAACCUACGUGCACCAGCAAAGCAAAGCAAGGAACCUGUUCCCCACCUGCCAUUGCAGGCAGGUGUUCAGCCACCCCCAGGACAGCAGAGCUGUGUGGUCUGGGAUAUCCCUUGGGUCACUGGGAGUCAGCUGUUCUGGCUGUGUCCCCUCCCAGAUCCUUGUGCACCCCCAACCUGCUCUCUGGUGGGGUGAUGCGAGAAGCAGAAGAGGCCUUGGCUCUGUGUAAACCCUGCUCAGCAAUAACGAAAAUACCUCUCUGUUAUCACCCAUGUUUUCAGCACAAAUCCAAAGCUCAGCCCCAUAGCAGCUACAGGGAAGAAAAUUAACUCUACCCCAGCCACAACCAGCACACAGAGUCCCGGCUCCCCCAUUCUCUGUGGGGUUUGGUUCACAUGGCUCUGAGAGGAAAACUCCCCCAAAACUCACACAAUGAAGAGCAAACUCCAGCUGUGCAGAUGGAGCUGUGCAGUACAGACAAGUGCUCUGAUCCAUUACUGGAUUGCAAGUAGCUGAUAUUCCUGUGGUGGAACCUCUUUCUGCAUCCAGAUAGUUGCCCCCCUGGACCCUGCACCCACCUAGUGAUGUUAGUGCCCCUGGUUUUGAAUCCUUUUUUCCCAUGGUGGUAAACGGCAGCCACAAGGCUAAUGGGUGUACUCAAGGCUUGUUCUAGCAGUGUAGGCUCAUUGCAGAAGCUCAGGACCUGCCUUUUGGGUCCUGGGGGCAUAUAUGUGUGUAUGGGUGAAUGCAUCCCUGCAGGCACAGCUGAUAUCUAAAGCAGUAAUUUAAAGGAUGCUACAUAAACCCAGGAAUAGAGUAAUACCUACCUGGAGGAGAGCAGAGGCACUGGAGCUUAAUUUAAACUCUUCCAACUCCCCUCCCUCCCAAUUCUAAGAUAAAUGGACAAAAACAUGCCCUGGAAGCUCUUGUGGAGCCCAGCCAGAGAUGAGCAGGAAGGAGCCAAAGGCAUGUCCACAGCUCGUCUUGCUGUGCAGGAGGCUUGGAGAGGUGUUUAUAAACACCUUUUCUGCUCACAGUGCUCUUGGCCCCUUUCUGACUCUUGGACUCAGGGCCAGCCGUGGCCCUGGUUCAAGCUUGUUUUGAAGUGUUUCAUCCCCCGUGCUCUGCAGAGCUGCCUUGGUGCUGAGGCUGAGCAGGGAUUUGCCCUGGGAGCAGGUCCAUGCUCUGCAGGGAGGAUGGGAGCUGCUGUGCAGAUCCAGGAGACGGGAAUUGCCCCCUUCAAAGUUACUCCUGGAGGUUAAUCAUUGUUCUUCCAGCGACGGGUGUCUGCUCCCGGCAAGAGAUCAGUUGUGGGGUGUCACUGCCACUGGGGGCACGGGGAAGGAGCUUUUCAAGGUGAGAUUGUGUGUUUAGUGUGGCCAGGAUGAGCUGGCAGCUCCUGCAAGCCUGGUGCUGCCCCUGCCACUCGUGUCCUUUCCUCUUCCCCUUGGUCAGGGUCUGCAUGCCUGGGAGGGAAGGCCAGGGACACAUGAGGAUAGGAGGAACCUUCUGCCUUCCUCACGUCCUACCCCAGGGUGGAAAGCCAAGUGGUUUUCCCAGGGGCAGGUGAGCUGCUGAAGGGGCAGUGCUGCCUGAGCAGCAAGGAAAGCAAGGAAAAGGUGACAGAGGAGUUUUUUAUUUCCCCAGAGCUGCAGGGGAUGGUGGCUGCAGACACCUGGCCACCUGGCAUGGCAAUUUGGGCACUGGCAGAGGAGAUCUGGGCAGUUGUGUGGCAGCUCUGGCUGGAGGAGCACAGCCAGGGGUGGCUGCUGGGUGCCUUUGGGCAAGAGCAGUGCUGGGGACCUGGUGCAGAGAGCAGCUGAGGAGCUUGGAGAGGGUGCUGGCAGGAGGGAGCCCAACUCCAUUGCCUUGGGAGUAGGAUUUCCUCCUGUCUCCCAGGAUUGUUGCCUCAAAACACCACAAGGAAUGACCAUCUCUCGUUCUCCUGGCAUUUCCUUUCUGGAGAGGAGAGUCAGACUGGCAGAGGCAAACAGUCCUAGUUUGGGGUGGGGUCCAGUCUGAGCCCCAACAGUGAAUUGCCCCCUUGCAGGGCACAUGCCAGAGUUGGUGUCUCUUUGCCAGAGGCUUCCUCAGGAUACAUUUGCCCAUGCACAGUGCCCUGUCAGGGGGGCCUGACCUGAAGAAAGGGGCCCGUUUCUGCCCCCAGAGCAAUGCCAGGCUGGUGUCAUGGCCUGCAGAUCCUUCUAAGUUGUGGCAGCAGAAGAAAAAGAGAGAAAUCACUGGGAAAGACCCAAAGCAGCCACGUGUCUCUGGCAUCUCUCAGCCCCGGGGCCCAAUAGUUUCUGUGUUUCCUGUGUUCAGCUGCCUUCCAAGAAGAUUUUCCCAGCUCCUGGAGCUGGGUCUGAGUUUUCACACUAGCCCUGUGCUUGGUCUUGCUCUGUCUGAGAGGUGAUGUGUCCCAUGAGCUUGAUCUUUCUGCAGCAGGCUGGGCCCUCAGGUGGGAGCCCGCAGCCCUGUGGGAUGGGCACAGAUCCAAGCAGGGCACCCGCUGCUCUGCCCGGUGCUGGUGGAGCUGGUGCUGAUGCUGUUUGGCAGUCACGUCAUCAGGACAGGAAUCUGGUUGGAUCCCUGGGAUGAAAAAACUUGGCUGACUGUAAACAAACCUAUUUACACAGAUACCUCUCGGCCUGGCGUGGAGAAUGUGGGAGCUUUGGUCGAGAAGAAUUUAUAGCUUGUAACUUCUAAACUCCUCAUUAUGCAAACAUGAGAACAACCAAGGCAUCUCAUUAGGGGCUGUUCACAGCAACUGGCUGUGGUGGCAAACAAAGCCUGUUUAGAGGAGAUACAAGAUGAUGUCUGAGUUUGAUUUUGUGGAGUAAGGGGUAACAGGAAGAGUGUUUGAAGCCAUUCUUCAAGUAUUGCAACACUACCUGUUGCCCUGUCCUUCUGUGGCCCAGCCAGGUGUCCUGCCCCACACCUUGGAGGAGGCAUCCACCAGACCCCAGUCCUUGUCUUUUCCAGGAAAGUAAAGCUGUUCUUUAAACCAUGCUCCAGUGUCUUCCCUGGUAGGAAGUCCCAGCAGUCCUUCAAGGACUGUGCUGAUACAUGGAGUUAUGGCCAGCUCUGCAAUCCUCCUGUGAGAGGUGCAAGGGGGCUGCCACUGAUGGGAGGUAGGUGUGAUACCUCCCUUUAAAGGUCCAUCAGUUUCUGGACCUCGAGAGAGAGAAAAGCCAACUUGGCUUCUCAUUUGAAACUUUACCAAGAAGAAAAGGGGCUGUGCUGAGGGGGUUAUUUAAGGCAGCAGAGUCACUUGUCAUUCACAAGGUGAUGGGGUUGAUUCCUACCAGCCCUGAGGUGAUGAGAGGCCCAGCCCACAACUGCAGAGUCCUGUGAGCCUGACAUGGGUGCUGUGACGAGGAAGAGUCAGGCACUAUUCCUAUUUUGUGCACGACUUCCCAUGGGCAGCAUUAGGAAAUGUUGUACUGUAGCAGGGGAAUGUCUCAAAGUAUCAAAGUUUAUUUUAGUAAUGAUUUAACAUUUGCCUACCUCUCUUUCAGAGCUGCUCUGGAGGUAUUUUCUGGAGCAUCAUUGUGGCCCUGGGUGGGAUUUUUUGUUUUUUGUCCUGUUGAGAUCUGUCUGGGUUUUGAAAACUUGGGAUUCCUGUUCUCCUUGGCUUAUCUUGAGAUUAUCAGCUCAAAAAAGUUGUCCCAUAACCCGUCUCAGUGGUUUGGAUUUUGCUGAAGAGGUGUUAACUGAGAACCUCUUAGUCCAUAAGUCAGACCCUUACCAUGGAGUCAGUAUCUUUUUACGUUUCCCUGAAAGAUGCCAUGAGUAAAAUUAUGAAGGUACUGAAUUUUUCCAUGCUCUGAUUUCUCACAGAGCAAAUUGGCUGCAGAGUCCGCUCUGGCUUGGUGUCAGAGGGGAAACAGCUUCACUUUUAUGAAGUAAUUCCGAGGAGGAGGACAGAGUAGGAUAGGGUGGCAUUUGCUGGGCUGACUCUUGCUGUUAGAGAAGGGGACAUUUUUGUGGCCCAGGCCUAGAGGGAUGAUGGCAGCUCUCUGCCCUGGCAGCUCCUGCAGCACCUGGCUGGGUUUGGAUCAGCUGUGGGCCCCCAGAUUGUCUGCUGGUUGUCUGCUUUUAGAUGCACAAGUCCCAGCUGGGGCUGUGCAAUAGCCCUGGAGUAGGCUGAAGGACUGAAGGAGCACAGCAGACUGAAUCACACCAGGAAGAGGAGAAAACCAUGGCUCCCCUAAACCCUGCUGCUGUGGAGACCAGGAAUUGCCUGGCACCAAUACAGAAUGCACCCAACACAGCAAGAAGUCCUUCUCCCUCCCCAGGGACCAUUAGGGUGGUUUCAGCCUCUCACAGUGUCUGAAUAGAGGAGCUGGUUUGAGGAUAUUGCUUACGGGAAUAUUUUGGGAACUCAUUAAAAAGAGAAUUAUAGACCAGCCCUGGUGUGAUUGAGAUAAGGUGGUGUGUAAGUGUGCAGGAAACAUGAACAUCCUCUCAAUAAUUAAAUUCAAUUAAUUGUUUUACAGCUGCUCAGCCAAUACCACGAGGUUCAGGUGGGGAGGUGCAGUGCUGGGACUCCACAAGGUCUGGAUGGAGCAGACAGAUUAAAUGAGACCACCUCCCAUCAUCCCUCCUUUCAGUCUGUGUGCCCCCGACCCAACGAGUCUGUAUGUGUGAUCCAGCCUUCAGGAGAGGAGAGAGAGGCAGGAGCAGUAUCCCCUGGGGCAGGGUUAAUCUCAGUGCAGCUGCAUGUGGUGCUGCCUGUGUCCUCAGCUCCAGCCAGGAUGUGCACAGCAAAGGGCUGAGGAGGGAGCUACAGACCGGGAAAGAUGCGUGGCCUUGGAUAUGCCGGGAAAGUCUUGAAGUGCCCGUGGAGGGAGGAUCCAGCACGUGCACGUGCGUGCCCACGGAUCACACGAGUGAGAUGCAGCAGAUGAGCUGCCUUGCUCUAUUUGUAACCUCCCACUGCUGUUGCACAGGCUUUGCAAGGAGGAGAAGGAGCUGAAAAUGGAGCUGAAAAAUGAAACUUGAGGCUCAGAUGCUUGCAGAGGCUCAGGAGCCUGAUUCAACCCACCACUCCUCAAGGAAGCAGGAGCUUCUGUUCCUCCUGGGCCCUGUGUCUUCCUCUCACACUCAGCACAGAGUGAGACAUUCAUACUCCACCUUGGAGCAAAAAUAAUUUUCGUUAACUCAUUGAGGAAAGGAGACAUAAAGACACAAAUUAAUUGCAAACCACACAAUUACAGUGUGAGGAAAGAAUGAGGGAGGAAAAGAAAAACCAACUUGGUCUUAUUUUUUAAUUUGCAUCCCUUUAGCUGGCUGAAGGAGAGCUGGGUGAGGACAUGGCAGUGCCAUGGUGUACCCUGGUGGGUGGGACACAGCCUCCCUACCUGGGCAUCACAGCUGGGAAGUUACACUCAGGCUCUUGCUCCCUCAAAGCUGGUUUGGACAGUCCUGGGGGCUGCAGCCUGGCCACUGGUGGGUGCAGGGUGAGAGGCUGGUGUGCAGGGAACCACGGACACCUGUCUUGUGCCCAGGCCCAGGCUGGGGAUUUCCUGCCUGAAUUCAGCACUUGCUGCCCUGAGUGUUGCCUUUGGAGAGUGCAGGAUGUUCUUGGGAUAGUGCAGGGAGAGCACAGGGAGAACCAACAGGGCUCCUCUUCAGCCCCUUACAUGCAGCAGCCUGGGACAGCCCACCCCUCCCCUGAUCCCAGCUCUCCUUGCAAAGGACAAGAUGGAAAGGUGAGUGAUGAGGCUCCAGCACCCCUCCAACCCUCCUGGCUUCUUGCUGAAACUGCUAAUUAAAGAGCCCAUUUCAUCAAGCGAUUUUUUUCUGAUGUGAAAACUUUUCCAUAAGGAACUAGUCCCGAAUCCACCAACUCAUUUCACAUUUAUUUUAAAUCUAAGCUUUAUAUUGUGUAGUUUCCUCCAGGGCUUGAUUAUCUUCUCAGUAAAAGCUCUGUUGUUCUGGUUUGUGAGGCCUAUAUUUAGCCUUGCCGUAAGGUCUGUGCACCUCUCAGUACAGGGCUCAGAUGCUGCCACCCGAGCUCCUGGGCUUUCCUCUUUAUUGGGAUCUAUUAAACAAGUUACCAUUUCUGUAAUAUCAAGGGCAUUUUCCAGCCACAGGCUGCCUACAAGCAGAAACUUAUUGCUGCAGAAAUGGUCUCCUGGAUCUCAGAAGUCAUUUGGAGAGGGCCUCUUGUCUAACAAUGGCAAAUUAUAUUUAAACAGGGAAUCAAGGGCGAAGCCAAAGAGCCUUGUCCCUCUCUAUUAUUGUGGUGAUACCUCAAGUCCUCAUUCCCUGUGUUUUCUGCACAUGUAAUAAGGCAUCCACCCACUCAGCAGAUUUUUACGUAAAAAUACACAAAAUAGGCAAAAGUGGGAGGGGACUUUACCUAUGAAGGGAAUUCAGAGGUGCACAGAAGUACCUGAUGCCCUGGUAUGACUGCAAUUGUUAUUUAAUACACAGGGGGGUGUAAGGAGGUUGUGUGGAGAGAAGGGAGAGAGAGAGAGAGAAACAUCAGAGUGGCUGGCAGCGAAACCCAGUCCAGGGAGAAUCUCUGGGAUGGAAGAGUCUCUCACUGCUGGGCUGGAGACUGGGAUACACCAUCCUGAGGGGAGCAUUUUCUCCCCCUGGUGCCGUUUUGCACCCAUGUGUCACCUUUCUGGUGACACAUCUCAGUGCCUGGGCACCACUGUCCUUCUGGGGGACAAGAAGUGCUGCCUCGCUGAUCGUCAGCUCCCUGCCAGUGUCCACCUCUGCCAGUCCCACUGCAGGAAUCCUCUGGCUCUGGGCAGCAGUGCCCUGCAGAGGCUCCCAUCUCCUCCACCCUGAGUGGUGUGAAGCCCUCCCAGAGCUGGAGCUGCUGACAAAUGUGUUGGAUGCAGCUGUCUGUAUCCAAGGAACGGAGCGUGUGAGCGGCACAGCGAGCCAAGGCACGCGACUGGAAUGAUCAACGGGCAAAAUCUGGGUGCUAAGGCACGGGCUGGAACAUCUGAUUGGAAGGCUGGGAGGAAAAAGGGAAGGCUGAAUUGUUUAUGGUUUGUUUUUCAUUCAUCAUUCCUGUUCGUGUGGGUGGACAAGGAGUGAAUGAGUUUCUCAGGGAGGGCAGCAAAUAAAACAGGCACACAUUUCCUUGAAGGAUGAGUAGCUUUUUUCCCUUCCUAGUGCCUAGGUGAAUGUGUCACAAUGGGGCUGGAGGAACCCUAACAGCUUUUCUCUCAGGUGAAGGAAACCACUUGCUCUUGAUUUUUUUUCCCUUUGAUCACCAUGUGCUAAGGAGAUAAAAGGUUUUUUGGGGUGGGUUUCAUCGUAAUAAAGUACUGCUAUUUCUCCCUACA